AUCCCACUCUAUCAUAUUAAUGAAUACUUUUCUCAUAAACCAAUCCCUAAACACCUGGAUGUCUCGUAUCUUUUUCAAGUAGCGUCAUACUCUUGCAGAUCUCUCACCAUGACCCAUAACCGCUAUAUGGAUCUAGCGGACCGGGCGCUCGAGCAGUGGCCAGCUCUGCUGCACGGCUUGACUUCAAGGCAGGCACUGGAGCAAGUAAAAAACAAGAUUCAAUGGCGUGUGAGGAACUAUAAACGACCGGACCCGGGUGUCAUGGGAUCAUUCAAG